CCGUCACAACGGCUUCCUGGCGUGGCGGAAAACACAACCCAAUGGAGCA
rnacentral:ncRNA from 1 species